rnacentral:tRNA from 1 species
GGGAGUGUAGCUCAACCUGGGAGAGCACAUGGCUGAAGACCAUGUUGUCCGGGGUUCAAAUCCCCGCACUCCCA